rnacentral:lncRNA from 13 species
CCAUUCCUAGGGCCAGAGGGACGAGGCGGGAAGGAGGUAAUAGUCUCACAACUUGUAUAUGGACUACCCAGGAGGUGCUGGAGUUGCUCAGACCUGCCUGUGUAAGCUGCGACCGUGGAUGAAGCAACCUUCUAUUAAUAACAGGAAUCAGAGCCACAGAGGUGACGCCUCCUGAAGUAUAGGAAGAGAAUUUCCUUUGCUUCUCACCAGCUCCUGCCCUUCACCUUCUGUCAGUGCCUCCCUUUGGCCAGUCUAUAUGAUUCCGGAAGGCGGGUUGCUAGGAAGCGCCAGUCACUUCCUAAGGCACAGGGCACAGCACCAGCAGGCAGGGGAUGGCUCUGAGCACGGCACCAGCAGGCAGGGGAUGGCUCUGAGCACGGCACCAGCAGGCAGGGGAUGGCUCUGAGCACGGCACCAGCAGGCAGGGGAUGGCUCUGAGCACGGCACCAGCAGGCAGGGGAUGGCUCUGAGCACGGCACCAGCAGGAGCGAAGAGUGUGCCCAAACUUGAAAACGUUGAUUGUCACAACCCAGUCUCCAAUUCCAAGCUUCCAAAUGAGUUGACAAGAAAAAGUGGCACUCUUUUCUCCCCAAGGAGACUUUAUGAAAUAGUGGUGUUGCCAUAAAGAGGCCUCCAAGUCUCUGAAGAAACAGAUCGGACCAGGGGUUCACCUGUAGAUGUCUAGUCUCCAUGGGGAAAAGCAAGUCAUCACCAGCGUCUGACUAUCUGCACCCCAGGCUGAGAGCUGGUGCAAAUCCUCUACAAUACCCAAUGCCAUCAUUAUCUCUGAAAUAGACUGUGAAGUCAGCACCCAUCCCGCCCCACACUCACCUCCUUCCUCCACUUACAAAUAUCUCCAACUGCUUUGUCUCAACUCAUGAACUUAAGAGGAAAGUUAGAUUUUAAAAAGAAGCAUCCACAAAUCUGAAGUCUUACAUCUGCUGUUGAGCUCCACUGAGCAUGAAUUACCUUCUCCAUUUCUGCAGCCCUGUGCUUCAGCUUUUCCUAUGACUCCCAUUAGAAUCCAUCCUAAAGAUAUUAUUUGACUGUCUGCUCAUCUACCUGGCCCUACAUGGAGCUUCUGGAGAGAAAGAUCCAAGGCGGGUCCCUGUUUGUAUCUCACCCAUUCAACCCUCACCUACACUGAAAACAUGACACUUGUCCCUUCCUGCAGUAUGUGUUCGGAGUUUGCUUACUGUAUCUGACAGGUGUGGUGCACCAAAUUCUCAACACACGCUGCCAGAACUAACACCCCCUGGAUCCCUAGGGGAUCCGUUAUAAUUGCAUUUGCACGAAGCAGCAGCCAGGAGACAUCAUGGCGACUUCAGCUCCCAGUUGAGUAGUCACUGACUUACUUAGCUCCCAAUUGAAUAGUAAACCAAAUACAAC